CCUACGUGAGGCAGCAGUGAGGACUAUUGGUCAAUGGGCGCGAGCCUGAACCAGCCAAGUAGCGUGAAGGAUGACUGCCCUACGGGUUGUAAACUUCUUUUAUAAAGGAAUAAAGUGAGGCACGUGUGCCUUUUUGUAUGUACUUUAUGAAUAAGGAUCGGCUAACUCCGUGCCAGCAGCCGCGGUAAUACGGAGGAUCCGAGCGUUAUCCGGAUUUAUUGGGUUUAAAGGGAGCGUAGAUGGGUUGUUAAGUCAGUUGUGAAAGUGUGCGGCUCAACCGUAAAAUUGCAAUUGAUACUGGCAGUCUUGAGUACAGUUGAGGUAGGCGGAAUUCGUGGUGUAGCGGUGAAAUGCUUAGAUAUCACGAAGAACUCCGAUUGCGAAGGCAGCUUACUAAACUGCCACUGACAUUGAUGCUCGAAAGUGUGGGUAUCAAACAGGAUUAGAUACCCUUGUAGUC
rnacentral:rRNA from 1 species